rfam:Operophtera brumata OBRT01_Sc06044, whole genome shotgun sequence.
CUACAGGCUCUUUUCAGAGCUACAUCGUGUUACCACUAGGUAUUUU